CUGGCCCUGGGUAGAAGUCUCCAGAGGACACUCAAAAAUCUGCCUCCCAUACAAUAUUUACAAUGUGCAGUGGGAAAAAAAAAGCUUUUUUUUUUUUUUUUUUUUUUCUUCUUUUUUUUUUUUUUUUUUUUCUUUUUUUUUUUUUUUUUUUUUAGAGGUGGCUUCCGUCCAUGAGGAGAAAAACACCAACAGGGCCUGGCUGGCAAGGAGACCAGCUCCAUGGAAGUCCCUAUCCAGCCCAUGUGCAGAGCUGGAAGCAUCUGCCAGAGCAGAAAGAAGGACUGAAGUGUCAACAUUUGUUUUCCAUUAACUUGUGAAAACAUAGACAGCUAUUGUUAAAGCUGGAGACUUCCUGCUCUCUCCUCCUCCUCUAGUCUUUGCUCAUCUCAUGUUACUGAUCUACUCAGCUUCCCUUCAUCAGCAGCUACUGGGACCCUGCUGUGGCUGAAAACCCGAGUAAAAAAAGUGCAACCUCCUCCCAAAAGUAAGACAAACAGUGUGGUGUCCCUCAAGUUUCCCUGAAUGCUACUGAUUCCUGAGCAGAAGUUAAAGUGUUGGAAAGCAAGUCAAGAUGGUGCAGACACAGCAGUUGGUGAAAAAGAAGGUCUUUGGCUUGUAAAUAGAAGACCAGCUUAUAGUGGUUUGAAUCCAGUGGCACCAGCAAAACUGUAAAAAAACAGCAAUAGCUGGGGGCUGCAGGAAAAUCACCAAGUUGAAAUAAAUAUUAUGGUUCUGAAAGUCA
rnacentral:lncRNA from 1 species